GGAGGCGUGGCUCAGUGGUAGAAUACCUGCUUUCCAUGCAGAAGGUCCCAGGUUCAAUCCCUGGCACCUCCA